GUGUAAUUGUGAAACAGGACCCCCAGGAGCUCGCGGUACCGUCCAGACUAUAUUGGAUUUGAAGUGCCUGACAAGUUCCUAGUGGGAUAUGCUUUAGACUACAAUGAAUAUUUCAGGGAUUUGAGUCAUAUCUGCAUAUUAAGUGACCGAGCGAAAGAGAAAUAUAAAGUAUGAUAUGACACAAGUGCUGGAUGCAUGAACGGACAAAGAUCACUUUGUGAAUUUUUUU